CCCUUAGAUGUUCUGGGCCGCACGCGCGCUACACUGACGGAGUCAACGAGUUGUCCUGCAUCGGAAGGUGUGGGUAAUCUUUUGAAACUUCGUCGUGCUGGGGAUAGAUCUUUGCAAUUUUCGAUCUUGAACGAGGAAUUCCUAGUAAGCGUUAUUCAUCAGAUCGCGUUGAUUACGUCCCUGCCCUUUGUACACACCGCCCGUCGCUACUACCGAUUGAAUGGUUUAGUGAGGCCUCGGGACUGGCGCGCUCGAGUAGCAAUACACCUGCGCGCCGGGAACUUGGUCAAACUUGAUCAUUUAGAGGAAGUAAAAGUCGUAACA
rnacentral:rRNA from 1 species